UACAGAGGGGGCAAGCGUUAUUCGGAAUUAUUGGGCGUAAAGGGCGCGUAGGCGGCUUCGCAAGUGGAAGGUGAAAUCCCUCGGCUUAACCGGGGAACUGCGUCUGAUACUGGAUGGCUUGAGUUUGGGAGAGGGAUGCGGAAUUCCAGGUGUAGCGGUGAAAUGCGUAGAUAUCUGGAGGAACACCGGUGGCGAAGGCGGCAUCCUGGACCAACACUGACGCUGAGGAGCGAAAGCCAGGGGAGCAAACGGG
rnacentral:rRNA from 1 species